rnacentral:lncRNA from 1 species
ACAGAUCCGCGCCCCCUGGCAGAUCACAAUAACAACCAUGAUCCUGUUCCACUUCCUGUAGCGGAUUCCGCGUGGCUCCAUCACCCCCUGCGGCGGACCCAUUACUCUUUGACAGGCUGUGUCAACGGCCACGAUUCUGCUCCGCUCCCUGCGGCAGGUGCUGCGCGACUCCACUACUCUUUGACAACUAGCGGCAACGGACGCCGCUCCACUACCUGCAACAGGCUCUACGUGGCAGGCCAUGACAAUAGCCACGGGUC